AACCCCUGGCAAUGGGCAAGGAGACACUUGAUUGUUGGUCUUAUAUCAGUCAGGGGCAAAGCAGACUAGUCCUCAUCCUAGCUUGAGGUUUCUAUUGGUGGCCAGAGCCGUUUCAUGCCUGGGACACAUAA